CAGCCGCCACGGUAAUACGAAGGGGGCUAGCGUUGUUCGGAUUUACUGGGCGUAAAGGGCGCGUAGGCGGACUGAUAAGUCAGGGGUGAAAUCCCAAGGCUCAACCUUGGAACUGCCUUUGAUACUGUUUGUCUUGAGUUCGAGAGAGGUAAGUGGAACUGCGAGUGUAGAGGUGAAAUUCGUAGAUAUUCGCAAGAACACCAGUGGCGAAGGCGGCUUACUGGCUCGAAACUGACGCUGAGGCGCGAAAGCGUGGGGAGCAAACAGGAUUAGAUACCCGCGUAGUCCCUGUCUCUUAUAA
rnacentral:rRNA from 1 species